rnacentral:rRNA from 1 species
GAUGAACGCUAGCGGCAGGCUUAAUACAUGCAAGUCGAGGGGCAACACGGUUAGCAAUAACUGGUGGCGACCGGCGCACGGGUGCGUAACACGUAUACAAUCUACCUUAAACAGGGGGAUAGCCUUUCGAAAGAGAGAUUAAUACCCCGUAAUAAAUUGAACGGCAUCGUUUGAUUUUGAAAGCUCCGGCGGUUUGAGAUGAGUAUGCGUCUGAUUAGCUAGUUGGUGAGGUAACGGCUCACCAAGGCGACGAUCAGUAGGGGAUCUGAGAGGACUAACCCCCACACUGGUACUGAGACACGGACCAGACUCCUACGGGAGGCAGCAGUAAGGAAUAUUGGUCAAUGGAGGCAACUCUGAACCAGCCAUGCCGCGUGCAGGAUGACGGCCCUAUGGGUUGUAAACUGCUUUUAUACAAGAGAAAACCCUGGUACGUGUACCAGGUUGAUAGUAUUGUAAGAUAAGCAUCGGCUAACUUCGUGCCAGCAGCCGCGGUAAU